GUGUCUUGCUCACUCAGACAGCAAGGAGAAAGUAUAACACAUUAGCAAACACAGUAGCAUAUUAGAUCAUAAAGUGCUGUGCAAAAAAUGAAAAUGCAGGAGUUCCUGUCGUGGCUCAGCGCAAACGAAUCUGACUAGUAUCCAUGAGGACGCAGGUUCGAUCCGUGGCCUGGCUCAUUGGGUUAAGGAUCUGGCAUUGCCCUUAGCUGUGGAAUAGGCUACAGAUGUGGCUCGGAUGUGGCAUUGCUUUGGCUCUGGUGUAGGCCAGCAGCUACAGUUCUGAUUCAACCCCUAGCCUGGGAACCCAAAUAUGCCAAGGAUGUGGUGCUAAAGACAAAAAAAAAAAAAAAAAUGAAAAUGCAGAGCACAGUAAGAGGGGCUAGGAGAGUGGAAGGAGGUGUGAGAGAGGAGGGGUUAAAAUUUAAUGGGCGUGGUCAGACCAGGCAUUGCAGAGAAGUCAACCUUUGAAUAAGAACUUGCAAGAAGUGAGGGUGUUAUCCACACAGAUCAGCAGUGGAGGGACAUUGCAGGGGCAGAGAAUAGUGUAAAAGUACAAGAGCAGAAGUACGGCCACUGCUAUGGACUGAAUGGCGACCUCCAAACCCAUAUGUUAAUGCCCUAACUCCCAACGUGACUGUAUCUGGAUAGGGCCUUUGAGGAAGUAAUUAAAGUCAAAUAAGUUCAUAAAGGUGGACCUUGAUCCCAUAUAACUGAUAUGCUUAUAAGAAGAGGAAGAAUGUACAGCACAGGAAACUAUAUCCAAUCUCUCUUGGGAUAGACCAUGAUGGAAGAUAAUCCCAAGCAGACUAAUACAUCUGGUAUUGGAAAACUGGGAAGAAAGCCAGUGUAACCUGGGGCAAGUUGAGUGAUGAGGAUUGUGGUGGAUGAUGAGUGAUUUUUAUACAGCUGCUCUAUGCCAGUCACAUGGGUGCCAAGAACAUAAAGAUGGAGAAAAGAACCACGACACCAAGGGACAGAGAAGAGAAAAAAAUGUGAUCAAGGCCCAAGAUAUUGUUUAUUCCAUGGACAUAUAACAUGAGUGAAAAAUGUCUUUGUCACUGCAAAUUAAGAUGGCAGAAUAGAAGGACUGGAGCUCAAUGUCUCUCAUAAAAACAACAAAACUACAACCAAAUGCUGAGCAACAUUCGAUCAAAUGGACUGGAAACUUUCAAAAAGACAUCCUACUCCAGAAGACAAAGAAGAAGCCACAUCAAGAGGUAGGAGGGGAAAUUACAUGAUAUAAGCAACCCCAUACCUCCUGGGUGGGAAACCCAAAGACCAGAAAGUAACUGUAUCACAGACACUCACCUAUAGGAGUGAGAGUUCUGAGCCCCACAUCAAAUCCCCAUACCUGGGGAUCUGGCAUUGGGAGAAAGAGCCCCCAGAGCAUCUGGCAUUGAAGGCCAGUG
rnacentral:lncRNA from 1 species